CAGGGCAUUUUUAUUGAGUCUUAACUAUGUGCCAAGGACUGUGCUCUAUUCUGAAGCGAUUAUGAUGAAUGCAGUUUUGUCUCUGCUUUCUUUCUACUGCUUUCCAGUCCUGAUGCUACCUGCCAGUGCAUUGUGACACUGUCAGGGACAUAGAAAAUAUUUCUGGAUCUUGUUAUAUUGGUUAUAUUCAUAAUAUUUCUUAGUUUUGAGAGGCUUUACAUCUAGAGUCUAACUAAAGUUAAAAACACAAUUCAAAUCACCAGAUAUCUAGAUGGGAAUAAAUCAAAAGUAGUUCAUCUAGAGUAGGGAAACAAUGAAUGUAAACCUAAAUGAGUUACCGAUGUAGAAUGAUCAUGGAGGUGCUUUUGUAAGAGUAAAAUUUGGAUUUUGAAAAUAAAGUAUUGACUGUUUAAGAAAAAAAAAUGAUCUUAAAAAAAAAAACUGAAUUCUACUAAAGAUGCUCAUCAAAUGUAAAAAGAUAAUUAUCAUAGAUUUAAUUAGGACAUUAUUGGCCUCUGUAGACUCAGACCAAAAAUAAUAUUUAUAUGAUAAAUGUUUGUUAGUAGUUUAAAUGUUUGCCCCUUCUCGACCCCACCAUUUCCUCUGGGUUUCCUUUAAAACCACAUACUUGUAAGUGUUUAAAUUAUUGAGAAUAAAGGAAAGAGAAGGUGUUAUUCUUUUGAUUGUCUCUUAUACCAAAUAUUUGUAUAUUAUUUUGUUAUUAUAUUUACAUUUUUUUUUUUUUUACAGUUCCUCAUCCUUUGUGUCUGUUUGUGUUUCCCUUCAUGGGUUCCUCCCACAGAGAUUUAAGUAACACCUCCGAGUCCCACAUCUCUUUGCUUAUCUCUGUCCAAUGUCAACCUAAAAAAUAUGCACAACCUAAAAGUUGAGAGUUAAGGUUUAUUUGGGGCAAAAUGAGAACUCUAGCUUGUGGGGCGCAUUUCAGAUAUCUCUAAAAUAUUGCUCCAAAGAGGCAAAAGGGAAUGUCAGUAUAAAUGUGAUUUUGGUGAAGUGGGAAGUACAUGCAAACAUGCACACAUUUUACAGAAGCCUAUUGCUACUCUUGUGAAGGUUACUAAUAAUCACGAGGAGCUGACAUCACCAUGAAGGAUUUUAGUGCUUUUCUAGAUAAGAGGAAAUGCAAAAAUUGGGCUUAUAAAAUCUCCUGAAAAUAUCUGACUAUGCGAAGACCUGUUCUGAGAGUUUUUCCAGAGCACAGAGUGCCUCACUCCUGAUUUCCACCCUGAGCUCCUUUCAGGGUCAGCAGCUGGCUGCUGUGGCUGCUUAUGAUUCAAUCCACAUAGAGGCGGAUGGCAAGUGCCAAUCUCUAGUUCACACCGUAUAUUCUAUCCUAGAAAAAUCAUCUAUUAAUUUAAACAAACAUGGGUAUGCUAAAUAGUCCCCAAUGGCUAUCUAAAGCUGUAGACAAUUUCUUGAACUUCAAACUUUGCUGAAACUUAAGAAUUAACCCGUGACAUAUCUACUCCCAUAUUUACUCUCAAUUCUUACAAAAAUAUUGGCUAAUGUUUAUAAAUAUUUAAUGUCAGGAAUAGUUUACAUAUGUGAUCAUAGUUAAUGUUACAGUAACCCUCUGAGCUAUUACAUUUUUCAUUUUCCAUAUGAAGACAUCAAAUCUCUGAGAGGGAGAAGUUCAAUAGCAAGGUCACAUAACUAUUAAGUGGAAUAGCUGAGGCUAGAAGCCAAUUGUGUCUGAUGCCAAAGCCUAUCCUUGUAGGUAUAAUUUAUAUCUCCCGUAUUUUUCACCACAGUCAGUAAUAACAUCUUCCAUCCAGUCACACAAAUCUGUAAUCUGGGCAUCUCCUUGACUUUUUCUUCUCUUCCAGUUUCCCACCAACUCAGUUGUUAAGACUAGAUGAGCUAAAUUCUAAAUAUCUCCCCCAAAUUUUCCUACUUACUGUUGUUUUCAUAUGGGCUCUAGUAAUUGUCUUGCAAAGUUAGAUUGUUUUAAUUUGUCUUUUUCAUCACUUAUCUUUGGUGAUAACUAAUACAAUCUAUACAGGAGGAAUUGGCCAUACACCUUUUACCUGAGAGCCACUCAGUUUAUCUUCUUUCAGCUAUAAAGUUUGAGAAGCUAAUCACAGUACCUUACAUGUUCUUUACACAUGUAUGCAUGUGUAUGCUCACAUCUACAUUCCUUUGCCUCUUCUUUCAUGUUUCAGGAUGACUCCCAUUUUUCCUUCACAAGCACACACUUAUAUUUGGAUACACAUCUUAAUCAUUUUAUUAUAAAGCCUUCCUUGUAUUCUCCCCACCUUCAAAAAAAGGGAAGAUGUCUUCUCUUCAAUGGAAAUCUAUGGUAUCUCUCUCCUUUCCCUUACAUACUAUUUGAUUUAUUUAUUUGUCAUUCUGUCUCUCAGAUUAUAAGCACUUGAAGGAGUCAAAAGGGACUGACUCACAUUGAAUCACAGAAUAUGGUAUGUAACAGGCAUUCAUUUAUGCCUGCACUGAACUAAAAUCUGCAUUAAUUGUAUAAAAUAAUUGAUAUAAGGAAAAUUCCUUUGCUAUGGUUAAUCAAUGAAAUGGGACUUAUGUUUGUAUCAUUUUUGCUUUCAGUAUAUUUAUUUUGGUUGUUAAUGUUUAAUGUUAAGUGUAUACAUUUCGUAGCAAUGAUUCAGUAAAACAUAGUACACACAAAUUUUAGAAAGGAAUGAAGAAUAUAUAAAGAUUUUCAAAACUCUAUAGAAUCCAUUUAAACUAAAUUGAUAUAAGAUAAAAUAAUUGAAUUUGGAUAUUAAAAUUAAAUAUGCUUCACAUGAAAUUAAAUUCUAAGGACAGUUUGGAAAAUCACUCACAACCUUUUUUUUGAAUUAUAGAAAUAAUUAGAUGAAAUAUUAAGAAGAGGUAUAUAUAAACAUAGACUAUAAGUACAUGAGAAGGGAGUUAUCUAUCAGAUUUUAACAUGAAGGAGAACAUUAAAAACAAAUUGCCUCUAUUAAUUCUUUGUAACUGGAUAUUUCUUCAGUUAUAGUAGAGAAUUAGAAAAUCAUCAUAUUUGAAAAUAUAUGAGUAUAACUCAAGUUAAAGUUCUGGUUAGGGUUUAUUCAUGUGCUAGGCUAUAACAAGUUAUGUAUAUAUAGUAUAUACCAUAUGUGGUAUAUAUCAUAUAUAUGUUCUCUAUAAAUUGCCAUUUUUGGAGUUUUUUUAACUCCAAAUAUUAAUUAUGCUGUUUUCACAAAUCUACUAGAUAGAAAUACAUUAAAAAUCACUUUCAGAAUUUGUCUUAUGUAAUAUUUGGAAUAGAUGAACAUUUGCUUUUUAGAUUCACAUGGCAGCAAUUUGUGUUUUAUCUUCCUUACCAUGCAGUAAUAAACAGAAUAAAUAUUCCAUGCUUAUUAAGCCUUUCAGUGAGAUUAAAUGAGAAAGAAAUUAAUUUCAUUUGCAAAAUGACUUUGAUUUUAACAUAUAGUCAAGCUUGAUAUCAAUGUAAUUACCAUAUUGUAUAUUCUAAUGAUUGACACAUAUGUUCUAUGCUAAUGUAAAUAUGAGAAACCACUCUGCUGUUAUAGAAUUAUUGUUUUUUUAGAUUCACUCAUAUCAGUCGUCUGUCAUAAUAUUUCUAUAUAAGCGACCAUCCGUAACAAGUAUUUAUGUUCUUGCUCAUGGGUCUGUUCACUGUGACUUGGCUGAUCAAGGCUGGCUUUGGCAGGGCAACUCUGUUUCAGGUUCCGGUUAGCUAGGUUUAGGUCCCUGGGAAUAUGAAUACAUUCAUCCUAGAGACCCCCAAGUGAUGCAAAAACAUGUGAGAUGUGAAUUAUAUGAGAUAGUUUUUAUAAGAAAUAGUUCUGGGUUCACCUAACCCUGAAAAUAUUAGCUAACACUGCAGAUAGUUAACUAACUUCCACCAAUAUCUUCCAGCUAAUAAAAAAUAGAAACUGAAUUUAAAUCUACUUUUUAUGUUUGAGUAAAACAUCUGUGCUUCCUCACUAUAGUGUGCCUCCUUUUUUUCCAAUAACUCAUCUAUUAUUAGAAUUCCUUUUACAGCAAAUGCAUUAUGAAAUUGACCAAACUUCCUUUGAUUCCUUCAAUAUUGAG
rnacentral:lncRNA from 1 species